UACGUAGGGUGCAAGCGUUAAUCGGAAUUACUGGGCGUAAAGCGUGCGCAGGCGGUCUUGCAAGACAGAUGUGAAAUCCCAGGGCUUAACCUUGGAACUGCAUUUGUGACUGCAAGGCUGGAGUACGGCAGAGGGGGAUGGAAUUCCGCGUGUAGCAGUGAAAUGCGUAGAGAUGCGGAGGAACACCGAUGGCGAAGGCGAUCCCCUGGGCCUGUACUGACGCUCAUGCACGAAAGCGUGGGGAGCAAACAGG
rnacentral:rRNA from 1 species